rnacentral:rRNA from 1 species
CUAGCGACUUCAGAGUUUGAUCCUGGCUCAGGAUGAACGCUGGCGGCGUGCAUAACACAUUCAAGUCGAACGGAAGCAAUUUAGUUUUAAUCCUUCGGGAAGCGAACCGAAUUACUUAGUGGCGACGGGUGAGUAACGCGUGAGCAACCUACCUCUGUUUGUGGGAUAACGUCGGGAAACUGACGCUAAUACCGCAUAACGCAUUUCUUCGCAUGUGGGGAAUGCCAAAGAUUUAUUGAACGGAGAUGGGCUCGCGUCUGAUUAGGUAGUUGGUGAGGUAACGGCCCACCAAGCCGACGAUCAGUAGCCGGACUGAGAGGUUGAACGGCCACAUUGGAACUGAGAUACGGUCCAG